rnacentral:SRP_RNA from 10 species
GCUACCCCCGACAUCGUGCGCUCGCCGGGACACGGUGGGAAUGAGGUGGCGGUCCUUGC